CAAUGCAUGUAAUGCAUAUAGCAUUGCAUGCACAGCCAUGCAGUAUAAAGAUAGUGCCAUAAAAUGGCUUAACGGAUAUAAAAUUUAUGUUUUUACGCAUCCAGCUACUGAACGCAGGCUUUUUACGGUACAGUACCAGACUUCCACGUGUUCGCAAACAAAGAAAUGCAACGGAGGGUUUUUCUCAUUUUGCUAAUGAGUAUCUCCAUCAGCGGCCAAGCCAACAGCGGUGUCAACGUGGAUCCGCAGCAGCGGAACACCAGCAACCAGGGGGUCAGCGGCAACCCCGGCAUCCCCUUUGUAACGAUGUACAGUUGCUUCCCGGAGUUAUUCAGGAAGGCCUACACCAGUCUGCAGCAAAAUAUUAAGAGAUGUGAUAACAACUGUGAUGUUAAUGCAACGGAACGGUGCAAUAGUGUGGCGGGCCGAUGUGAUUGUCUGCCGGGUUCAACUCGCACAUCUAUUACAGAAAAAUGUCAAGCAUCCGUCCAGCAAAGCCUUGGACUAACUAUUUCUGGAUUGUGCGGGAAACCGUUUUUAUUCCAGUCUUACAUGUCAAAUUUCUCAACCAGUCACUCAAGAGUUAGCGGUUAUUGUGUGCAAUGAAAUGGAGCAAUUACUGAACAAAUCCGGCUUAUCAGCAGGCCAGUAUAGUCCCGGGUCGUGUAACCCCAGCAGCUUUUCCCCCGAAAAUGGUGUGACGAACGUCGGCCUGGCCUUCGUAUCUGCUACACGCGACGAUGGCGCUUUACCAACCGAACUGGCCACGGCGUUGGAGGAGGCGCUCAGUAGCAAUCAUGGCGCUGUUGGAGGGGAUGCCGGUGGGCUCAGAGUGCGUCUGGCCCUGUCGAGCGGAUUGGGGAGAACUACGCCCAUUUCUCAUUCAACCUCCGCUGGAGGUUGGAUACAUGGCGAUUCUGAUUGCGCAGAAAAACGAAAUCAAUAAAAAAGUUAUCUGCAUGGUUUUUGGUAAUAUAAAAACUAUUUUUAAUCCAGAAACAGCCGUUGCUUCCUCGUUGGCCUGUAUGAAAACAUAAUUUUGGUAGUUACACAAUAAAAUACAUUCAUUUAAUUUACGGAACACAUCUUGUUUGUUGAAUGAAGGAAGUAUGGAAUGCAUUGGCAAUGGAAGUAGUUCUAGUAGAUAGGUAUACAAAUUAUUGUAUAAUU